GGGUUGUGAGGUUAAGCGACUAAGCGUACACGGUGGAUGCCCUGGCAGUCAGAGGCGAUGAAGGACGUGCUAAUCUGCGAUAAGCGUCGGUAAGGUGAUAUGAACCGUUAUAACCGGCGAUUUCCGAAUGGGGAAACCCAGUGUGAUUCGUCACACUAUCAUUAACUGAAUCCAUAGGUUAAUGAGGCGAACCGGGGGAACUGAAACAUCUAAGUACCCCGAGGAAAAGAAAUCAACCGAGAUUCCCCCAGUAGCGGCGAGCGAACGGGGAGCAGCCCAGAGCCUGAAUCAGUGUGUGUGUUAGUGGAAGCGUCUGGAAAGGCGCGCGAUACAGGGUGACAGCCCCGUACACAAAAAUGCACAUGCUGUGAGCUCGAUGAGUAGGGCGGGACACGUGGUAUCCUGUCUGAAUAUGGGGGGACCAUCCUCCAAGGCUAAAUACUCCUGACUGACCGAUAGUGAACCAGUACCGUGAGGGAAAGGCGAAAAGAACCCCGGCGAGGGGAGUGAAAAAGAACCUGAAACCGUGUACGUACAAGCAGUGGGAGCACGCUUAGGCGUGUGACUGCGUACCUUUUGUAUAAUGGGUCAGCGACUUAUAUUCUGUAGCAAGGUUAACCGAAUAGGGGAGCCGAAGGGAAACCGAGUCUUAACUGGGCGUUAAGUUGCAGGGUAUAGACCCGAAACCCGGUGAUCUAGCCAUGGGCAGGUUGAAGGUUGGGUAACACUAACUGGAGGACCGAACCGACUAAUGUUGAAAAAUUAGCGGAUGACUUGUGGCUGGGGGUGAAAGGCCAAUCAAACCGGGAGAUAGCUGGUUCUCCCCGAAAGCUAUUUAGGUAGCGCCUCGUGAAUUCAUCUCCGGGGGUAGAGCACUGUUUCGGCAAGGGGGUCAUCCCGACUUACCAACCCGAUGCAAACUGCGAAUACCGGAGAAUGUUAUCACGGGAGACACACGGCGGGUGCUAACGUCCGUCGUGAAGAGGGAAACAACCCAGACCGCCAGCUAAGGUCCCAAAGUCAUGGUUAAGUGGGAAACGAUGUGGGAAGGCCCAGACAGCCAGGAUGUUGGCUUAGAAGCAGCCAUCAUUUAAAGAAAGCGUAAUAGCUCACUGGUCGAGUCGGCCUGCGCGGAAGAUGUAACGGGGCUAAACCAUGCACCGAAGCUGCGGCAGCGACGCUUAUGCGUUGUUGGGUAGGGGAGCGUUCUGUAAGCCUGUGAAGGUGUGCUGUGAGGCAUGCUGGAGGUAUCAGAAGUGCGAAUGCUGACAUAAGUAACGAUAAAGCGGGUGAAAAGCCCGCUCGCCGGAAGACCAAGGGUUCCUGUCCAACGUUAAUCGGGGCAGGGUGAGUCGACCCCUAAGGCGAGGCCGAAAGGCGUAGUCGAUGGGAAACAGGUUAAUAUUCCUGUACUUGGUGUUACUGCGAAGGGGGGACGGAGAAGGCUAUGUUGGCCGGGCGACGGUUGUCCCGGUUUAAGCGUGUAGGCUGGUUUUCCAGGCAAAUCCGGAAAAUCAAGGCUGAGGCGUGAUGACGAGGCACUACGGUGCUGAAGCAACAAAUGCCCUGCUUCCAGGAAAAGCCUCUAAGCAUCAGGUAACAUCAAAUCGUACCCCAAACCGACACAGGUGGUCAGGUAGAGAAUACCAAGGCGCUUGAGAGAACUCGGGUGAAGGAACUAGGCAAAAUGGUGCCGUAACUUCGGGAGAAGGCACGCUGAUAUGUAGGUGAAGCGACUUGCUCGUGGAGCUGAAAUCAGUCGAAGAUACCAGCUGGCUGCAACUGUUUAUUAAAAACACAGCACUGUGCAAACACGAAAGUGGACGUAUACGGUGUGACGCCUGCCCGGUGCCGGAAGGUUAAUUGAUGGGGUCAGCGCAAGCGAAGCUCUUGAUCGAAGCCCCGGUAAACGGCGGCCGUAACUAUAACGGUCCUAAGGUAGCGAAAUUCCUUGUCGGGUAAGUUCCGACCUGCACGAAUGGCGUAAUGAUGGCCAGGCUGUCUCCACCCGAGACUCAGUGAAAUUGAACUCGCUGUGAAGAUGCAGUGUACCCGCGGCAAGACGGAAAGACCCCGUGAACCUUUACUAUAGCUUGACACUGAACAUUGAGCCUUGAUGUGUAGGAUAGGUGGGAGGCUUAGAAGUGUGGACGCCAGUCUGCAUGGAGCCGACCUUGAAAUACCACCCUUUAAUGUUUGAUGUUCUAACGUUGACCCGUAAUCCGGGUUGCGGACAGUGUCUGGUGGGUAGUUUGACUGGGGCGGUCUCCUCCUAAAGAGUAACGGAGGAGCACGAAGGUUGGCUAAUCCUGGUCGGACAUCAGGAGGUUAGUGCAAUGGCAUAAGCCAGCUUGACUGCGAGCGUGACGGCGCGAGCAGGUGCGAAAGCAGGUCAUAGUGAUCCGGUGGUUCUGAAUGGAAGGGCCAUCGCUCAACGGAUAAAAGGUACUCCGGGGAUAACAGGCUGAUACCGCCCAAGAGUUCAUAUCGACGGCGGUGUUUGGCACCUCGAUGUCGGCUCAUCACAUCCUGGGGCUGAAGUAGGUCCCAAGGGUAUGGCUGUUCGCCAUUUAAAGUGGUACGCGAGCUGGGUUUAGAACGUCGUGAGACAGUUCGGUCCCUAUCUGCCGUGGGCGCUGGAGAACUGAGGGGGGCUGCUCCUAGUACGAGAGGACCGGAGUGGACGCAUCACUGGUGUUCGGGUUGUCAUGCCAAUGGCACUGCCCGGUAGCUAAAUGCGGAAGAGAUAAGUGCUGAAAGCAUCUAAGCACGAAACUUGCCCCGAGAUGAGUUCUCCCUGACUCCUUGAGAGUCCUGAAGGAACGUUGAAGACGACGACGUUGAUAGGCCGGGUGUGUAAGCGCAGCGAUGCGUUGAGCUAACCGGUACUAAUGAACCGUGAGGCUUAACCUUACAACGCCGAAGCUGUU
rnacentral:rRNA from 1 species